CAUUCCAGAUUGAAUAUACCCGAUCUCGUCUGAUCUCGGAAGUCAAGCAAUCUCGGGCUUGGUUAGUACUUGGAUGGGUGACCGCUUGGGGAACCGAUU
rnacentral:rRNA from 1 species